rnacentral:rRNA from 1 species
UUAUAUGAGAGUUUGAUCCUGGCUCAGGACGAACGCUGGCGGCAUGCCUAAUACAUGCAAGUCGAACGCACGAAGUUGAAAAGCUUGCUUUUCGACCAAGUGAGUGGCGGACGGGUGAGUAACACGUGGGUAACCUGCCCAUAAGAGGGGGAUAACAUCCGGAAACGGAUGCUAAUACCGCAUAUUUCAAAUGACCGCAUGGUCGCUUGAUGAAAGGUGGCUUCGGCUACCG